CCCUUAGAUGUCCUGGGCUGCACGCGCGCUACACUGACGCACGCAACAGGUGCCUGCUCCGAGAGGACUGGGUAAUCAUUUGAGUGUGCGUCGUGAUGGGGAUAGAAUAUUGUAAUUAUUACUCUUCAACGAGGAAUUCCUAGUAAGCGCCAGUCAGCAGCUUGCGCUGAUUACGUCCCUGCCCUUUGUACACACCGCCCGUCGCUCCUACCGAUGGGUGAUCCGGUGAAUGAUUCGGACUUCAGCGGCUCCCCUGGGGUGCGCCGGAGAAAGUUUUGUGAACCUUAUCACUUGGAGGAAGGAGAAGUCGUAACA
rnacentral:rRNA from 1 species